CGGGUAACUUUGCAUCGCUGGCA
rnacentral:miRNA from 1 species